rnacentral:rRNA from 1 species
AACGCUGGCGGCGUGCUUAACACAUGCAAGGUCGAAACGCGAAAGGGGACGUUACGGUCCUGAGUAAAGUAGGCGCACGGGUGAGUAACGCGUAGAUAACCUGUCUUCAUGUCUGGAAUAAUACGCCGAAAGGGGUACUAAUACCGGAUAUUCUUGCUUUUCAUAAGUUAUGCAAGCAAAGGUGGCCUCUGCAUAUGCUACUGCAUGAAGAGGGGUCUGCGUACCAUUAGCUAGUAGGUGGGGUAAUGGCCUACCUAGGCGACGAUGGUUAGCGGGUCUGAGAGGAUGAUCCGCCACACUGGCACUGGAACACGGGCCAGGCUCCUACGGGAGGCAGCAGUGAGGAAUAUUGCGCAAUGGGGGAAACCCUGACGCAGCGACGCCGCGUGAGUGAGGAAGGCCUUCGGGUCGUAAAGCUCUGUCAAGAGGAAAGAAGUGUACAAUGGCUAAUACCUGUUGUAUUUGACGGUACCUCUAAAGGAAGCACCGGCUAACUCCGUGCCAGCCGCCGC